CGACCGCUGCUAUCCCUCUUCUCCUCUGGUGUCCUCUAUUGAGGAGUCUGUUUCCGCCAUUGCCCGCUCUGGUCGUUCGGUGGUCUUGGUUUGGACGCCAGGUCACGUUGGCAUCCCGGGGAACGAACGUGUUGACAGGCUGGCCAAAGGGGCGAUCGACGCCCCAGCUUUGGAGAUCGGCCUCACAGCUCGCGACCUGCAGCUGGUGUUGCGCCGUAAGGUGCUUGGGGUGUGGUCUGCUGAGUGGCGAGGCAUGACUGCCCAGAAUAAAC